rnacentral:siRNA from 1 species
CUAAUACAGUUACUUAUUUCA